GACGAACGCUGGCGGCGUGGAUUAGGCAUGCAAGUCGGACGGUAGGGCUUUAUCGUAAGAUAGAGUUUGAGAGUGGCGAACGGGUGAGUAACACGUAGGAAUCUACCCUUAAGACGGGGACAACACAGGGAAACUUGUGCUAAUACCGCAUAAGACCCCACCAUGGCAUCAUGGAGAGGUCAAAGGAAGAAAUUCCGGUUUGAGAUGAGCCCGCGUCUGAUUAGCUAGUUGGUGAGGUAACGGCUCACCAAGGCGACGAUCAGUAGCCGAACUGAGAGGUUGAUCGGCCACAUUGGGACUGAGACACGGCCCAGACUCCUACGGGAGGCAGCAGUGGGGAAUAUUGCACAAUGGGGGAAACCCUGAUGCAGCGACGCCGCGUGAAGGAAGAAGGCCCUCGGGUUGUAAACUUCUUUGACCAGGGACGAAGAAAGUGACGGUACCUGGAGAACAAGCCACGGCUAACUACGUG
rnacentral:rRNA from 1 species